UAUGUAAAGCUAAUAUUUUAGCUAUUAUUUUUAUGAAAAUAUGUUUAAAUAUAAAGGAAUUUAUGAGUUAUAAUGUAGAACAUUUGAUUAGAGACACUGUUACAACUUAAUAACUAAUUUUAAUCACCAGUGAGGACCCAGUUGGUGAAAGCAGCCUGCUUCUCUGUCAGCUUGGACUAAGUCACACCUCAUCACUGUAAAUACCUCUGGAACAACUGAUUUUAUUUGUGCUUAGCGUUCACUAAAAAUGCUCAUUAAUUCCCUAUGUGGCCACAACAUGCACAUUCAUGCAGAGUGUUUUCUUUCUUAAUCUUCAACCACAACAUUUUGGAAAAUGUGAGGUGAUGCUAAUAUGAAGUCACUGGCUGUGUGUACGCAGGUCGCCUCUGUUGUUGCUCCUACCCCGACAUUAAUUUCAUUUGUAAGCAUCUCUUUGACUCCAUCUGCCUCCACAGCUGCUCUGGCCUGCUGCAACACAUCACUGUAGCACUCCUCUGCUAGAAGAGAAAUCACAGUGCAGGAAUAAAGACAUCAGUUUGCUACCACAAAUGUGCGAUUAUGAGGAAGACCAGCUGGACGAUUAAGCUCGAUGCUUUUUGGUAAAACUGGGUUAAAAAGAAGAACAGAGUAACAUAAGAUUCUGGGGAUGAUUCGGUUUGACUACAUACUUAUGAGGCUCUUCAACAUGGUAGUAAACUGAUAUAACCAUAUGUGUCUACAUGCAAAACACCUCAUUUAUACUGACUAUGUUUCAGCCUAUUUGUCUGAUUAUAAACAUUCAGUUAAUCUGAUAGAAAAGGACAAUUUUUAAAUCACUGCAGAUGUUCAUGUUUUAGCUCACUGAGCUGAGCUGGAGCAUCUGUGUGUAUGAGUGCAUGACUGUGCAUACGCAGGUUUCGUGGCAAGUCCAGGCUGAUCCUGGGGAACACCCCGACUCCAGUCAGAGUGAUCUCCUGCAGUGGUAGGGACGCCACCUGCAUCUGAAGCUUCUUCUUAAACACCUCAGGGAUACCCGGAAGGUAGAGUACAUGCAGCACCUGUACCAUACCAGCAUCAAGGUAACCCUGACACACACACACACACACACACACGAAUAAAUAAAGUAAAAAACAUCCCUAUUCGUGAUAAAAUAACCUUAAACAUCCACAACAGAAGCGGUCCCAAGGUAAACUCACCUGAGCAGGAAUGACCAUGGGCCAACCAGGUGUGACCUGGGCCUGUUGUUCAAAGACCUUCAUCUGCCUCACUUCUUUCUCAUAAGCCUCCUCCUCUCUUUCAGGGUGUACACUGUAGUUAAAGCCCAGUUUGCCAGUAUUUGUGAGGGUCACAUAAGCUUCCCCUACACAAUGAAGAAGCUAGAAGGAAAGGACAGACAUUAAGAGAGAAGCAACAGCAGCCUGCUUUUAAAAGUUAGCUGUGUCUUCAUUUUUAUUAAUGAUCAUGUUAAGCAGCUUUUGACAAACAAAGAACUGUACCUAGUGACCAAGUAUAUUCUGUAGAAAAAACAAUUAGAUUUUUUUUAAAUGUCAUUUACAACAUUAGGUUAUGAAAAUAUGAGAAAGGAGAUAAGAGAUUUAUACAAAAAUGCAAUCAAAUCAAAUCAAACAUGAACUUGUUCUUGUUUUGAAUGUCAGUGAUAACUGGUCCAGAUGGUUUGCAUUCUCAGAGAAAGAGUGGAGGUACAAAGUGUGGAAAAAUGACAGAUAUUUAACAUCAAUGUCCUCUCAGCAGUGUUUAUAGUGUUUAUAAACAAGGUGAAAUGGCAACCACUUAUGAUAUUAAUACAGACCUAGAAACAUGAUAAAUGUAGCUCUUUCAACAGUGGAACUUUUUAAGGGUUCAAAACUAAGUUGAGAGGUGCACAUAAAGUCAGUGUCAUUUUUUUUAUUUCAUAGAUUAAUUUUUGACCCUUCUUCCCUCUCCUGGGCCUUCACAGAAGCCACCCCCAACUUGCUUCCUGAGUGGUCCAAUAGCCGUUCGCCUGGUAGUCUGCUUUGGAUCAUGGACACUGUGAGCUGCUGUGUGCAUCUGCAACAGGCACAGGGCUCAGAGGAGCUGAAACGGCAGAAGUUCAGCCACUUUGAGGAAAUGCUGAGCAGUGGAGCCACAAGGCGACAAGUAACAUCUACAGACAUGAUCUUCUCCUGACAGCUCUGCUGACCAACAACAGCGUAGCACACCAGACGCUCACGCACAACCUGGGAAGGCAAAAAGAAACAUACACUACGUGUACUCCAUACUAUACUGCAUAGUGUACUUUAAUGCAUGCAUAUACUGGCUGUGAUAAUGAACCUCAAAGCUUGAGAUUAUUCACUUUAAGGCCUGCAAAUGAACAAUUUCACCUUAGGGGAGUGUGAAGACACUGUCAGCACCAUGUCAGCGGAGCAGCCUGGAAAAAGCUCCAGACGAGAUGGACUGAGGCUGACCACCGACUUCUCCCUGCUGGAAGGGACUAAAGAUCCAAGCCUUGGAUCAUCUCUCUGUUUAGGAGUGGAGAUAGGAGGUGAGUGUCUGUACCAUUGGAGUAGUAAAGCGAGCUGGAACAGGUGACCGAUUUGACAGGACCAGGGUUUUGGCGAUGUCCGUCAGAACGGGAAUUUUUCCAAAGUGUAGCUCUGUGCUGCGGAUGUCAACUAAUGGUCCUCGGCCAAUACAUGACAAGGCCACCUCCUGGAACAGAAGAGAAAUAAAGGUGGAUUAGAGAAUAAAUACUAUCUGUAUUCAGACACGCACAUAAAUUUAACUUGCAUUCCCACACAAAGACUUCCACUGACCAGGGGUGGCUGGAGGCUGCCAAACACAGCAAUACGCAGAGAGCGAUGCAGUAUUCCAACGGCCUUAGCUAGGAGACGCACGGGAAGCUCCUCUGAGCUGCCUGGAUGAAUCACUCCUCUGGGUGCAGAACUGCCUAAAAGCAGUGAUGGAUUCUCCUCAUAUUCCUGAAAACAGGGACACCAAAACAAAUGAUAUGUUUUAAUGUCAGCGUGCAGAUCUGACACUGCAUAUAUUUAUGUAACUUGCCUCAGUGCACGGGAUGAAAAAUUGGUGACUAAAAACAGAAACCCAGCAUAGUAUCAUCACUGAUUUAUAUGCAAAUGAGGCUUUAUGCUGUUAGGUUUUAUGGCAGUUUCAACAGUGUGGUGGUAGGCAUGUCUACUUAUUAUCAUGGUUAAGAUGUAGAUUAGUGUACUUAUCAUUUUUUCCUGGCUUCCAGCAUCCAGAACAUUUUGCAUGGCAUUUUUUAAAAAUGCUAUAACAGGAGGAGCCAGAGAUGUUGAUCUUGUGGCUUAAAAAGACUUUUAAACCUAAUUUUCAAUGAAAAUACAUCCUUUCUAAAGCUUUGUUUGAUCUGAUUUGAGUUGUGCUUCUAUACAUGAAGAAAUGCAUUUAAAAUUUUACCUUUUUCAUUUAGAUAGGGCUUCAAAAUCAAAGCAAAAUAACCACUUGGAGGUGUAACCAAGAUGGAUGCAGAGUGAUAAGAUUUGCUUCAGGAAGGACUUUAAAUGCCUCUCCAACAUGAGCCUCAAAUUAAGAUUUUUUUGAUAACUUACUGCUCCUGAUCAUGAAAUAUCCUGACUGAAAUUGUGUUGAAAUUGUUGUUUAUGCAUACUGUAUAUGAACACUAAGAACACCACUCUCUUCAUACAAUCGACAAAACUAUCCCUACCCAAUGUAAAGGUUGUAGUAUCACACUCACCAGCCACUUUAUUAGGUAUGCUGGUUCAGUUGCACAUUAUCACAAAUGUCUAAUCAGUUAAUCAUGGCAGCAGCUCAAUGCAUCUGGGCAUGUACUGUAGACGGACAAGAAAACCUACUGAAGUUUGAAGUGAGCAUCAGAAUGGGGAAGAAAGGUGAUUUAAGUGACUUUGAACGUGGUGCACUUGUUGGUGCCAGAUAGGCUGGUCUGAAUAUUUCAAAAACUGCUGAUCUAUUAAGAUUGUCCCUCAC